rnacentral:rRNA from 1 species
GAAACUCUGAUGCAGCCAUGCCGCGUGUGUGAAGAAGGCCUUCGGGUUGUAAAGCACUUUCAGUUGUGAGGAAAGGUUAGUAGUUAAUACCUGCUAGCUGUGACGUUAACAACAGAAGAAGCACCGGCUAACUCCGUGCCAGCAGCCGCGGUAAUACGGAGGGAGCUAGCGUUGUUCGGAAUUACUGGGCGUAAAGCGCUCGUAGGCGGAUUGGUCAGUCAGAGGUGAAAGCCCAGGGCUCAACCUUGGAAUUGCCUUUGAUACUGCCAGUCUUGAGUUCGGGAGAGGUGAGCGGAAUUCCGAGUGUAGAGGUGAAAUUCGUAGAUAU